AGAGUUUGAUCCUGGCUCAGGACGAACGCUGGCGGCGUGCCUAACACAUGCAAGUCGAACGGAACUGUUUUGAAAGAUUUCUUCGGAAUGAAUUUGAUUUAGUUUAGUGGCGGACGGGUGAGUAACGCGUGAGUAACCUGCCUUCAAGAGGGGGAUAACAUUCUGAAAAGGAUGCUAAUACCGCAUGACAUAUCGGAACCACAUGGUUUUGAUAUCAAAGAUUUUAUCGCUUGAAGAUGGACUCGCGUCCGAUUAGUUAGUUGGUGAGGUAACGGCUCACCAAGACCGCGAUCGGUAGCCGGACUGAGAGGUUGAACGGCCACAUUGGGACUGAGACACGGCCCAGACUCCUACGGGAGGCAGCAGUGGGGGAUAUUGCGCAAUGGGGGCAACCCUGACGCAGCAACGCCGCGUGAAGGAUGAAGGUUUUCGGAUUGUAAACUUCUUUUAUUAAGGACGAAAAUUGACGGUACUUAAUGAAUAAGCUCCGGCUAACUACGUGCCAGCAGCCGCGGUAAUACGUAGGGAGCAAGCGUUGUCCGGAUUUACUGGGUGUAAAGGGUGCGUAGGCGGCUUUGCAAGUCAGAUGUGAAAUCUAUGGGCUCAACCCAUAAACUGCAUUUGAAACUGUAGAGCUUGAGUGAAGUAGAGGCAGGCGGAAUUCCCCGUGUAGCGGUGAAAUGCGUAGAGAUGGGGAGGAACACCAGUGGCGAAGGCGGCCUGCUGGGCUUUAACUGACGCUGAGGCACGAAAGCGUGGGUAGCAAACAGGAUUAGAUACCCUGGUAGUCCACGCUGUAAACGAUGAUUACUAGGU
rnacentral:rRNA from 1 species